AACUCACCUUUGUAUUAUGAGUUGAUUUUUAAAAAAAAAGACAUAAAUUAAAAAUACCUCAGCGUGACCCGAGGCUCAACUCACCUCUGUAUUAUGAGUUGAAAAAAAAACAUAAAUUAAAAAUACUUCAGCGUGACCCGAGGCUCAACUCACCUCUGUAUUAUGAGUUGAUUUAAAAAAAAGGACAUAAAUUAAAAAUACCUCAG
rnacentral:lncRNA from 1 species